GGCGAGCGAACGGGGAGCAGCCCAGAGCCUGAAUCAGUGUGUGUGUUAGUGGAAGCGUCUGGAAAGGCGUGCGAUACAGGGUGACAGCCCCGUACACAAAAAUGCACAUACUGUGAGCUCGAUGAGUAGGGCGGGACACGUGGUAUCCUGUCUGAAUAUGGGGGGACCAUCCUCCAAGGCUAAAUACUCCUGACUGACCGAUAGUGAACCAGUACCGUGAGGGAAAGGCGAAAAGAACCCCGGCGAGGGGAGUGAAAAAGAACCUGAAACCGUGUACGUACAAGCAGUGGGAGCACGCUUAGGCGUGUGACUGCGUACCUUUUGUAUAAUGGGUCAGCGACUUAUAUUCUGUAGCAAGGUUAACCGAAUAGGGGAGCCGAAGGGAAACCGAGUCUUAACUGGGCGUUAAGUUGCAGGGUAUAGACCCGAAACCCGGUGAUCUAGCCAUGGGCAGGUUGAAGGUUGGGUAACACUAACUGGAGGACCGAACCGACUAAUGU
rnacentral:rRNA from 1 species